GGCCGCGGGAAUUCCUUUAAGGCCUAACACAUGCAAGUCGAGCGGGGAAGUGUCCUUUGCUACAUUACCUAGCGGCGGACGGGUGAGUAAUGCUUAGGAAUCUGCCUAUUAGUGGGGGACAACAUUCCGAAAGGAAUGCUAAUACCGCAUACGUCCUACGGGAGAAAGCAGGGGAUCUUCGGACCUUGCGCUAAUAGAUGAGCCUAAGUCGGAUUAGCUAGUUGGUGGGGUAAAGGCCUACCAAGGCGACGAUCUGUAGCGGGUCUGAGAGGAUGAUCCGCCACACUGGGACUGAGACACGGCCCAGACUCCUACGGGAGGCAGCAGUGGGGAAUAUUGGACAAUGGGCGGAAGCCUGAUCCAGCCAUGCCGCGUGUGUGAAGAAGGCCUUUUGGUUGUAAAGCGCUUUAAGCGAGGAGGAGGCUACUCUAGUUAAUACCUAGAGAUAGUGGACGUUACUCGCAGAAUAAGCACCGGCUAACUCUGUGCCAGCAGCCGCGGUAAUACAGAGGGUGCGAGCGUUAAUCGGAUUUACUGGGCGUAAAGCGUGCGUAGGCGGCUGAUUAAGUCGGAUGUGAAAUCCCUGAGCUUAACUUAGGAAUUGCAUUCGAUACUGGUCAGCUAGAGUAUGGGAGAGGAUGGUAAAAUUCCAGGUGUAGCGGUGAAAUGCGUAGAGAUCUGGAGGAAUACCCGAUGGCGAAGGCAGCCAUCUG
rnacentral:rRNA from 1 species